AACGAACGCUGGCGGCAUGCCUAACACAUGCAAGUCGAACGAGACCUUCGGGUCUAGUGGCGCACGGGUGCGUAACGCGUGGGAACCUGCCCUUAGGUUCGGAAUAACUCCCCGAAAGGGGUGCUAAUACCGGAUAAUGUCUUCGGACCAAAGAUUUAUCGCCUUUGGAUGGGCCCGCGUUGGAUUAGCUAGUUGGUAGGGUAAAAGCCUACCAAGGCGACGAUCCAUAGCUGGUCUGAGAGGAUGAUCAGCCACACUGGGACUGAGACACGACCCAGACUCCUACGGGAGGCAGCAGUGGGGAAUAUUGGACAAUGGGCGAAAGCCUGAUCCAGCAAUGCCGCGUGAGUGAUGAAGGCCUUAGGGUUGUAAAGCUCUUUUACCCGGGAUGAUAACGACAGUACCGGGAGAAUAAGCUCCGGCUAACUCCGUG
rnacentral:rRNA from 1 species